CGGAGCAUAGCACAGCCUGGUAGUGCACUGGUUGGGAUGCCAGGGGGGUCGUAGGUUCGAAUCCUACUGCUCCGACCA
rnacentral:tRNA from 1 species